AACGCACAUUGCGCCCUUUGGUAUUCCGAAGGGCAUGCCUGUUCGAGCGUCAUUAUCACCCCUCAAGCCCCUGGCUUGGUGUUGGACGGUUUGGUGGAGGUCCCCUCGGGGGCUCCUGCCCCUCCCAAAGACAAUGACGGCGGCCUCGUUGGACCCCCGGUACACUGAGUUCUUCACGGGACACGUAUCGGACACAUGGGUUUACGGGACACGGUCUGCCUCCCCUCAGGGAGAAUCUUUCUAAGGUUGACCUCGGAUCAGGUAGGGAUACCCGCUGAACUUAA
rnacentral:misc_RNA from 3 species